rnacentral:rRNA from 1 species
GAUGAACGCUGGCGGCGUGCUUAACACAUGCAAGUCGAACGAAGCAUUUACUUACGAUCCCUUCGGGGUGACGAGUAUCUGACUUAGUGGCGGACGGGUGAGUAACGCGUGGGUAACCUGCCUUGUACCGGGGGACAACAGUUGGAAACGACUGCUAAUACCGCAUAAGCGCACAGUAUCGCAUGAUACAGUGUGAAAAACUCAGGUGGUACAAGAUGGACCCGCGUCUGAUUAGCUAGUUGGUGGGGUAACUGCCUACCAAGGCGACGAUCAGUAGCCGACUUGAGAGAGUGAUCGGCCACAUUGGGACUGAGACACGGCCCAA